GACAGAACGAACCUGGUAGGCUGUAUGUCUCCAAUGGAUGCUCCUGAACCAGUUUCCAGUCUCUGUCCCAGCCAAGGCCAUGUAGGAGGCUGGCCUGCAACACCUUCUGCUUCCACAUCAGGACUGCUGGGAUCAAAGGCAUACUCUACACACUCGCAGCUUACUGAAUUCUAGUCCAUAUGUUAGGACUACUCCAAGCACCCUUCUGCAGUUCAGCUUUCUGGCUGAGGGGCCCAAACAGAGCUGUCCAAGAGAAGUACACAGCAGCUGAGAGAGAAGUUCGGGGAAACAGCCCUGGGGAUGGGUUUUCAAACUCAUAGUUUCAAGCGCCGUUGUUUUUCAUAGCCUAAGAGAUAAUUUUGUGUUGCCGUGCUGGGAAAAUGGAGUCUGUGUACUACUUUUUCUGUCUAAUUAAAUACAAAUGUCAGUAAGUAUGGAAUGCAUAGAGCAGCAG
rnacentral:lncRNA from 1 species